rnacentral:lncRNA from 1 species
CCCGUCCCGCCCGGCUGCUGCCCGCGUCCACCCCGCCGCGAUGGCGACGCGCUCGUGCCGGGAGAAGGCGCAGAAGCUGAACGAGCAGCACCAGCUCAUCCUGUCCAAGCUGCUGAGGGAAGAGGACAACAAGUACUGCGCCGACUGCGAGGCCAAAGGUCCUCGAUGGGCUUCCUGGAAUAUUGGUGUGUUUAUUUGCAUCAGAUGUGCUGGCAUCCAUAGGAAUCUUGGGGUUCAUAUAUCCAGGGUCAAGUCAGUCAACCUAGACCAGUGGACACCAGAACAGAUCCAGUGCAUGCAAGAUAUGGGAAAUACUAAAGCAAGACUACUAUAUGAAGCCAAUCUUCCAGAGAACUUUCGAAGACCACAGACAGAUCAAGCAGUGGAAUUUUUCAUCAGAGAUAAAUACGAAAAGAAGAAAUACUACGAUAAAAAUGCUAUAGCUAUUACAAAUAAAGAAAAGGAAAAAAAAAAGGAAGAGAAAAAGAAAGAAAAGGAACCAGAAAAGCCUACAAAACCUCUUACAACUGAAAAGCUGCAGAAGAAAGAAGAUCAGCAAUUGGAACCUAAAAAAAGUACCAGCCCUAAAAAAGCUGCAGAGCCCACUGUUGAUCUUUUAGGACUUGAUGGGCCUGCUGAGGUGCCGGUGACCAAUGGGAGCGCAGUCGUGGGGCCAGCCCUGAACGAUGACCUGGACAUCUUUGGACCGAUGAUCUCUAACCCAUUACCUGCAACUGUCAUGCCCCCGGCUCAGGGGCCGUCCUCUGCACCAGCAGCUGCCACUCUGUCUGCAGUGACGUCUGGGGACCUGGAUCUGUUCACUGAGCAAGCUGCAAAGUCAGAAGAGGUGGCCAAGAAGCAGCUCUCCAAAGACUCCAUCUUGUCUCUGUAUGGCACCGGGGCCAUCCAGCAGCAGGGUGCUCCUGGUGUGUUUAUGGGACCCACGAAUCUACCAUUUACCUCACAAGCACCGGCUGCAUUUCCAGGCUUCCCGUCCAUGGGCGUGCCUGUGCCCGCGGCUCCCGGCCUGGUGGGCAGCUCGCUGGGGCCGAGCGCGGGCAUGAUGGUGGGCAUGCCAGUGCCCAAUGGCUUCAUGGGCAGCGCACAGACUGCUGUGAUGCCGCUGGCGCAGGGCGUGGUCGGGCCCCCAGGGAUGGUCGCUCACUUGGGCGCAGCCCAGGGGAAGUUUGGCCUGCAGCCAGCUCCGCAGAGCCCAUGGAACCUCCCCCAGGUGAACCAGCAGAUGGCUGGCCUGAGCCUGGGUGGCGCAGCCUCAGCGGCGGGCUUCGGGCAGCCGCCCAGCACCUCAGCGGGGGCCGCGGGCUGGUCCGGGGGCUCGUCGGGGCAGACGCUCAGCACGCAGCUGUGGAAGUGACCGCCCCGCUGGCAUUCCUGCUCAGACACACCCAGUUCCCCUGUCCAUUCAUGUACAUACAUGUUUUUUUCUUUUCCCCCAUUUGUUCAUAUUAAGAGUUACCUGAUUGACCGUGUUGGUCUUUACUGAUUGAAUUUGCUGUGGUGAAAAGCAGGUUGAGAAACCGUUCCAUGUCGAGGGCAGCUUUGCUCACAAUUCCCAGGAUUUCGCAGACACAGUCUCUGGGAAGCUGCUCAGUCAACGUGCAUAAUCAGUUUCCCUCUCGAUGAAAUUAUAGCUCUCAUGUUUGCAUAUAAGGGAAGUAGUUAUCAUGUUAGUAAUACCUCUAACAGUAUGAGCCCCACCCCCAGAUUAGCCAGUAAUCCUGUAGGAAGGUACUGUAUGAUCAAAUGUUUAAUCAU